CAACUGUUAUCACCAAGCUACACGUGGGCAAUUUCGAGACCCGCAGAACUGCGAAUUACUUGUGCGUUUUGCCUUUCUUUGUUCGUCGACGGAGUUUCCCGCAGUCCCCAAAUCCCCAAAUGUUGAAAUUCAGAGAAAAUUCAAAGUUGCAGAUGACUCUGUUCAUCUGAGUUUGAAUUCCACUCAAUUUAUACAAAGUCACAAUUCAAGCCAAUAAACAAUGGCGGAAAUUCCAUCUUCUUCCCCCAAAACAUUGGAAUUACCUUCCAACCGUAUAAUUAACCCUGCAAACCUAGUUGCCGCACCAUCAUCAUCGACGGCAUCGUCCGAUCCCGGAAUAACCAUGACUUCUCCUUCUAACAACAACAAUUCUAUCUCACAAUCUCCUUCAAUUGAGAUGCAGUCUCAACAAAUGCAGCAACAGCAAAUUCAGAUGCAGCCUCAACAAAUGCAGCAACAGCAAUUGACACAAUCUCAACAACAACAGCAGCAACAAAUGCAGCUUCAGCAGCAGAAUAAUAAUAAUUCUACUAGUCUUAACGGCAGUAAUAAUAAUAACUUAAUGGCCGCCGCCUCUAAUUUUCAGAUGCAGAGAUCACCUUCCAUGUCGAGGUUGAGUCAAUUCCAAAUGCAACAGCAGCAACAGCAAUUUGGUUUGAUGAGGCAGCAAUCGGGAGGAGGAGGGCUUUAUGGUCAAAUGAAUUUUGGUUCCGGUGGUACUGCCCUCCAGCAACAGCAAUUACAGCAACAACAAUUGCAGCAGCAACAACAGCAACAACAAUUGCAGCAACAGCAGCAACAACAACAGCAGCAGCAACAGCAACAACAGAAUCAACAACAGCAGCAGCAAAUAGGAGGCCAAAUGGGUAGCGGAAAUUUAACUAGGGCAGCUUUAAUGGGACAGACUGGCCAUCUUCCCAUGUUGUCCGGACAAGCUGCUGCAGCUGUCGCCCAGUUCAAUUUGCAAUCUCAAUUUUUGAAUCCGCCACGGCAGAAGGCAGGUCUAAUGCAGGGGAAUCAGUUUCACACGGGGAAUUCCCAUGGCCAGUCCUUGCAGGGUAUACAGGCAAUGGGAAUGAUGGGAUCUCUCAACAUGAGCUCUCAGUUAAGGGCAAAUGGUGCCCUUGCAUAUGCACAACAAAGGGUCAAUCAAAAUCAGUUGAGGCAGCAGUUGUCCCAGCAAAAUCCUCUCACCACUGCUCAGAAAAUAUCGGUUCAGAACCUUCCAAGGACGUCAUUUAUUAACCCUCAGUUACCUGGAUUGACUCAGAAUGGACAAUCUACAAUAAUGCAGAACAAUUCAUCACAGCAGCAGUGGUUGAAGCAAAUGCCUGCUAUUUCUUCUCCUAAUUCCCCCUCCUAUCGUCUUCAAUCGCAGAGGCAGCAGCAACCAAUGCUUAUGCAGCAACAAUUAACUUCAUCUCAACAGUUGCAUCAAAAUUUAAUUGGUUUGAACCCACAGCAACUAUCCCAAAUUGUACAACAGCAACAACAGAUUGGCCACCCUCAGAUGCAUCAACAGCAGCAGCAACAACAGCCACAGCAGCUUUUGCAUCAGCAGCAGUCUUCUCCAAGGAUGGCUGCCCCAGCUGGCCAAAAAUCUCUGAGUUUAACUGGGUCACAACCAGAUGCUACUGGAUCUGGAACAACUACUCCUGGGGGAAGUUCAAGUCAGGGGACUGAAGCAAGCAAUCAGCUUCUUGGAAAGAGAAAGAUACAGGAUUUGGUUUCACAGGUGGAUUCACAUGGAAAGCUUGAUCCUGAAGUUGAAGAUCUUCUUCUAGAGAUUGCUGAUGACUUCAUUGAUUCGGUUACUACAUUUGCUUGCAAUUUGGCGAAGCAUCGGAAAUCUUCGACUUUGGAGUCCAAGGAUGUACUGUUACAUCUAGAGAAAAACUGGCAUUUGACUAUUCCAGGCUUUUCAAGCGAGGAGAGGAAACACUAUCCAGAACAUUCACCAAGUGAUCUCCACAAAAAGCGUUUGGAUGUGAUACGUACGUUGAUGGAGGCCUCACAAGCAGAAACAAGUGCACAUACUAGUGCUAAGGAGACCGUCAGACCAGGGGUGGGUGACUCAAAUCACAUGAUCAGGCCUCCAAGUUCAGAGAAAUUGGUCUCACAGUCUAAUGCUUCACAAAUGCUGCAUGAGAUGACAAAGUUUUGAUGUCCCAGGAGUUCUUGGUUAUCUCCCGUGUUAACUGUACAGACCUGAAUGAUCAAUAAUGAUAGGAGGCAUAAGUUAUAUAGGUGUAGCUUAAUGGAAGUUUUUGAGACUUGAGGCGUGCGAAGAAAAAGUGUAGAAUGAACCACCAAUAGUUGAAUGGUCUUAAAGGCCUGUAAAGUAUGCAGUUUAGUUGACAGUAGCUAAUUCAGCCUGUGACGAUGAACUUGCUCAGAUUUGGUUUCUCCACCAUAGUCCGCUGGAUGACAUGUUCACUAAUAUCCUGUAAAUUAUUCUGUUAGCCACCUCUUCGUUCUGUAUACCAGCGAACGAGGUCAAAUCUUUGUUUUACCGUUUAUCAUAGUUGAAACAUUAUAUCGAACAGGUUUUAUGCUGUUAGAUAUUACAAACAGAUUUUUUCCAAGGGUCCCUUUUAGAUUUCACUGUGGUAGAGACGUGAAUUGUUUUAUAGAAAAUCGGUUUAACA